rnacentral:rRNA from 1 species
CAUGGCAAAGUCGAACGCACAGCGAAAGGUGCUUGCACCUUUCAAGUGAGUGGCGAACGGGUGAGUAACACGUGGACAACCUGCCUCAAGGCUGGGGAUAACAUUUGGAAACAGAUGCUAAUACCGAAUAAAACUUAGUGUCGCAUGACACAAAGUUAAAAGGCGCUUCGGCGUCACCUAGAGAUGGAUCCGCGGUGCAUUAGUUAGUUGGUGGGGUAAAGGCCUACCAAGACAAUGAUGCAUAGCCGAGUUGAGAGACUGAUCGGCCACAUUGGGACUGAGACACGGCCCAAACUCCUACGGGAGGCUGCAGUAGGGAAUCUUCCACAAUGGGCGAAAGCCUGAUGGAGCAACGCCGCGUGUGUGAUGAAGGCUUUCGGGUCGUAAAGCACUGUUGUAUGGGAAGAACAGCUAGAAUAGGAAAUGAUUUUAGUUUGACGGUACCAUACCAGAAAGGGACGGCUAAAUACGUGCCAGCAGCCGCGGUAAUACGUAUGUCCCGAGCGUUAUCCGGAUUUAUUGGGCGUAAAGCGAGCGCAGACGGUUUAUUAAGUCUGAUGUGAAAGCCCGGAGCUCAACUCCGGAAUGGCAUUGGAAACUGGUUAACUUGAGUGCAGUAGAGGUAAGUGGAACUCCAUGUGUAGCGGUGGAAUGCGUAGAUAUAUGGAAGAACACCAGUGGCGAAGGCGGCUUACUGGACUGCAACUGACGUUGAGGCUCGAAAGUGUGGGUAGCAAACAGGAUUAGAUACCCUGGUAGUCCACACCGUAAACGAUGAACACUAGGUGUUAGGAGGUUUCCGCCUCUUAGUGCCGAAGCUAACGCAUUAAGUGUUCCGCCUGGGGAGUACGACCGCAAGGUUGAAACUCAAAGGAAUUGACGGGGACCCGCACAAGCGGUGGAGCAUGUGGUUUAAUUCGAAGCAACGCGAAGAACCUUACCAGGUCUUGACAUCCUUUGAAGCUUUUAGAGAUAGAAGUGUUCUCUUCGGAGACAAAAUGACAGGUGGUGCAAGGUCCUCCUCACCUCCGGUCCUGAAAAGUGUGGGGUUAAAUCCCCGCACCAAGCGCACCCCUUAUUGGUUGUUUGCCGCGCUUUCAGAAGGGGCCCCUUACCGAAAAGGCCGGUGACAAAACCGCAGGAAAGGGGGGGGGAGAGAUCCAGAUAAAAAAGGCGCCCUUUAAACCGGGGGGAACCCCCGGGUCCAAAGGGGGGGUUUCCCCG